AAAAAACAUAUCCAAGAGGAGAUGGUGAAACAAGAGAGCACAGGGUCCUUGUUCUACCCCCAGAUCAAAGCAAGGAGAGGAGGAGCAAGAUGGCAAAAUAGAUGGCUCCACUGAUCUCCACCUGCCAACAAGGACAUCAAUAUAACAGCUAUCUACACAGAAAAAAGCACCUUCAUAUAAGCAAAAUGCAGGUAUUAAAUUAUGAAAUAUAUAUAUGUCUUCAAAUCAAUUAAAUAUAAAAGAAGACAUACAUAUGGCCAGUGGGAAUAUAAAAAAUGCUCAACAUCACUAAACAUCAGGGAAAUGCCAAUUAAAACCACAAUGAGAUAUCACCUCACAUCUGUUAAAACGGCUGUUGUCUAAAAGACAAAAGAUAUAUAUUCAAAGGAAACGAAGUCAGCAUGUCAAAGAGAUAUCUGCACUCCCAUGUUCAUUGCAAGCACUAUUUACAAUAACCAAAAUAUGGAAUCAACCUAAGUGUCCAUCAAUGUAUGAACAGAUGAAGAAAAUGUGCUCUAUAUAUACAAUGGAAUACUACUCAGCUAUUAAACAGUAAGGAAAUCCUGCCAUUUGAACGACAUGAACGAACUUGGAGGACAUUAGGCACAGAGAGACAAACACUGCAUGAUUUCACUUAUAUAUGGAACCAAAAAGUUGAACUUUAGCAGAGAGUGAAAUGCAUUUCAGAUCUGGUUACUGUGAGCCAUUCACUCAUUUAACAACUACUCAUUGAAUAGUGACUGGUUUGUUGAGUGCCUACAAUGUUCCAGCUGUUAUUCUAAGGCUCCAUUCAAUUCCCACACUAGACUUGGUUGGUUUGGGGAAAGAAAACAUCAGAAUCAGAGUAAUUCAACUGCUGUCCGUGGUAUGGUUUUGUCUGUGGCAGUAGAUAUCCAAGGAAGUGUGGUUGUCCUGAGAAGUCAACAGCGGCAACAGUCUCUUUGGAGACAGGAACGAACAUGAGACCAAGAUAUGUUCAAGGUAAAAUUUGUUGUCUACUUUUAUAGACUAUUUUUUUUCCACACAACGAAGUAAAUGAACACCAGAAGCACUGAAUUCAUGACAUAGUAGUUUUACCAUUGGGAGAGAAAACAGAGCUGCUCUCUUCUAUUUGCCACAGCCUGCAAAAAUGCCAAUGAUUGUGCAGCGUAUGAGAUUUUAUCCACCUUACAACUAACAAGUUUGCCUGCUGCAGUUUCAUGGAUGUUGGCAGAAGGAACUACACUGCUGGGUCAGAGACAAAGGACUCCAUUUCUAAUGAUCCAGCAGCAGUCGUGAGCUUCAUGUUCACAUCAGUUCCCCUUAGUCUCCAGGUGCCAUGAGGUCCAUGCAGAGCAGCCCAAGUGGAUGUUGCACACACAGUGGGCAUCUGUCAUAGCUGAGGAUCUCUGAUCUUAGGAAACCCUCAUCUUACAAAGAAGCUGCUGUCAAACCUGUCUAAACUUUUUCUCAAAGGAAGACAUCAUCUUUAUUAUUCAAGUCAAGAAACAAAUCUGCCCUCCAACCCAGAAGGAGAUACUAUCUCUAGCUUCCAAGGCUUUUUGCUGUGCAGGUAUCAUUGAAAACACAGUCUAGGAUAAAAACUGUCACAAGCUGCGUAGAAACUCCAUGGAGGGAUUGGCUUCCAACAAAAAAUUCCAGGGAAGGAAUCAAAAUUGAUGUAUUUGAGGUCAAGUGCCUGUCCUCUAUCAAGCACUUUGUCCAAGGAGAUGGGAUAGUAUUACGAACACUGCAAAAGUCAAUUUCCCAUCCACACAUGGGUUAAGGUCAGACACCAAGACAUUAGGAGAGGAAUGUGCUUGACAAAGAUUAAUCACAUUUAUUAUGAUUCAGUAUUAGAAGGGAUAAGAUGGGGCCAGAUCAUAAAGAAUUAUGUAGGUUAUGUUAAUUAGUUUGGAUUUUUUCCUAUGAGCAAUAGCAAUUUGUUAAAUUUUAUAAUGGGGUAGGUGUGGUAUCCUUAGAAAAAUCACACUGGUACAGAUUUUAGGGAUUGGCAGUAGAGAGUAAAUGAAGAAAUGAGUUAGAGAACAGUUAUAUUAGUCCAUGUGAAAGGUAACAGGGGUCUGAACCAGAAUAGUGAGUAUGGAGAGAAGUGGGCAAAUCUGAGGAUAUUUUUGGUAGCAGUCAAAAGGAGAGAAGACAGAAUCAAGGACAAACAACAUGUUUUUGUUUUGGGAAACGUCAUGAGUUGAGACAGAAAGCCUAGAAAGAGAAGCAGGUUUUAACAAGGUAAAUUCAGUUUUGAAACUUACAUAUUUUACAUAGGAUGGGACACAGAAAGCUAGGCUAAGGAAAUGGAUUCAAGACAUUUGUAUAACACAUAGAUGGGAAGAGGAUUGAACAGAAAAAAUACCUCUAGUACAAAACCUGAGGAACACUAAUAUUGAAAGAGCAGGCAUAAGAAGAACCUGUAAAAAAAGAUAAUGUAGUCAGUAUGCUAGGAAAAAACUAGGAGAAAACAGUAAAACAGAAACCACAGAAGGUGAUUGAGAAAUAGAAUUAACUCACUCUUUUUAAUGGCUGUGUAAGAUGACAUAGUAUAGAUGUACUACAAUGUAAUAGAACUAAAAACAAAACUAAGCAUUAAAAGAAGUUAAAUGUUAAGUGCUUUGGAAGACAAGGUUCUUCAGUUGUGAGAAGCGGAUUCCAUCAACCUUACAGGAAUACUGUGGGGAUUGAAGUGGAUCCUAUUCACAUACUUCUUACACUAUGAGGGCAUUCAAUACACGUCAAGUUUUCCUUUGUAAAAUUAAGUCACUGGCACAUGUGGCUAAGAUUAUGCUUUUACUCCUAGAACUCUUCCCAAUCACUCUUGCAAAUAACCAGUCAUUGCAUGUGUACUAGUUUUGUUGUGCCCCGUUAUACUCAUUGCCAAUAAACGUGCCUUCCUCCCACAACCCCCACCCCCCACCCCGACUAUACUCUUGGUACCAAAUCCUUUGAUUUAUUGGUUGCACCAAAGUCACAGACUGGCAGAAUAAAUACUGGUGACAUUUUAUUUCUUGUCACCUCAUUAACGUAGAUCAGCUCAGGCUGAUUAGUUCUCCUCUACACAUUAGUUAGAAUGGCUCUGUAACUUGGUGCUAUACAGAGAGUAGAAUGGUUUGUGAUUGUUGCUUUCCUAAGGGGAUUUAAAGUUUUUCAUUUAUUUUUUGUGUGUGCAUGCACAUGACACUCUCAUACAUUCUGCCCCAUUUCUUUUUUCUUCCCUCAGAGCUAGCUCAAAUAAAAUAAACAUCUUUAGCUCUUUCUUUAGAAAAAGAAGGGAAAAUCACAUGCCAAUCCAAGUAGAGAAAGAUACAGAAAACAGAAGCAGGUGGGAAAAGGCACUUUAUAAUUCAUUAAUUUAUAUUGGUAUCUCUUAAAAUUUUUCUUUUUAUGAAAAAGAAGUGAAGAAUGUUAGAAGGUCAUAAACUAAUAAGAGACCACAUAGUUUAAAAGAUUUGCC
rnacentral:lncRNA from 10 species